rnacentral:rRNA from 1 species
AACGGGGGGGGCGAAGCGUUUAUUCAUAAUGACUGGGCGUAAAGGAUGCGUAGGUAGUAGUAAUAGCUUUUUAUUUUUAAAUGUUAGGGCUCAGCCUUUUAAGUUGGAUAAAGGUCAUUAUUAGUUGUAUAUAGUAGAAAAUUAACUGUACUUUUUUUUGAGGAGAGGUAAAAUUCGUUUGAUACUCAAAGGACGAGCAAAAGGCGAAGGCUGUUGUUUUUAGGCUAUAUAGACGCUGAGGCAUGAAAGCGUGGGGAGCAAACGGG